UCCCAGGGGUACCCCCUUUUAAGCCUUUUUCAUCCUCCUUUUUCUAUCAUUAUCCAGUUCUGAGUAACCUUCAUGAAAUCUGCUGGGGCCACAUUGUUUUAAAAAGUAGGAAAUCUAGAGCUACUUUACAGCUAGAAAGGCUGAGGAUCAUCAAGAAUUGGGGAAUUGAACAUCCAACAAACAUCUCUUUGCAAGAAGACUUAGCAAGGGAGGUAAAAGAACUGCUCUAAGAAUUAGAACUGAAGCUUUCUUCCUGGAUUCCCCAAACUCAUACAAUAACCCCAGGUAAUGCCUUGGGAAGAAUGUGAUUAAAAAGAUUUACAUUUUAAAAGUAUUUGCAAGAUUGCUAUAAAAAUAAUUAACAUAUUAAGGUAAUACCAAAUAAGGUGAAUUUCACAUGCUUAGAAGCGUCUACAUUGUAUGGAUUUCAACUGGGCUCCAAAUUAAGCUAUAAAUAUUAUGCAGUAAAUUGUAAUCUAAAUAGAUUUCUUAGUGGAUUUUGAUUAAUUGGUUUUCAAAUAAAAGUGAAAGAACAAACGAUUAAAGAUUAGAA
rnacentral:lncRNA from 1 species